UACGUAGGGUGCAAGCGUUGUCCGGAAUUAUUGGGCGUAAAGAGCUUGUAGGCGGUUUGUCGCGUCUGCUGUGAAAUUUCGGGGCUCAACCCCGAACUUGCAGUGGGUACGGGCAGACUAGAGUGUGGUAGGGGAGACUGGAAUUCCUGGUGUAGCGGUGAAAUGCGCAGAUAUCAGGAGGAACACCGGUGGCGAAGGCGGGUCUCUGGGCAACAACUGACGCUGAGGAGCGAAAGCGUGGGGAGCAAACAGG
rnacentral:rRNA from 1 species